rnacentral:rRNA from 1 species
GAUGAACGCUGGCGGCGUGCCUAAUACAUGCAAGUCGAGCGAACGGACGAGAAGCUUGCUUCUCUGAUGUUAGCGGCGGACGGGUGAGUAACACGUGGAUAACCUACCUAUAAGACUGGGAUAACUUCGGGAAACCGGAGCUAAUACCGGAUGAUACUUUGAACCGCAUGGUUCAAAAGUGAAAGACGGUCUUGCUGUCACUUAUAGAUGGAUCCGCGCUGCAUUAGCUAGUUGGUAAGGUAACGGCUUACCAAGGCAACGAUGCAUAGCCGACCUGAGAGGGUGAUCGGCCAAACUGGAACUGAGACACGGUCCAGACUCCUACGGGAGGCAGCAGUAGGGAAUCUUCCGCAAUGGGCGAAAGCCUGACGGAGCAACGCCGCGUGAGUGAUGAAGGUCUUCGGAUCGUAAAACUCUGUUAUUAGGGAAGAACAUAUGUGUAAGUAACUGUGCACAUCUUGACGGUACCUAAUCAGAAAGCCACGGCUAACUACGUG